rnacentral:rRNA from 1 species
GGCUUNCUAAUACAUGCAAGUCGAGCGGACAGAUGGGAGCUUGCUCCCUGAUGUUAGCGGCGGACGGGUGAGUAACACGUGGGUAACCUGCCUGUAAGACUGGGAUAACUCCGGGAAACCGGGGCUAAUACCGGAUGGUUGUUUGAACCGCAUGGUUCAAACAUAAAAGGUGGCUUCGGCUACCACUUACAGAUGGACCCGCGGCGCAUUAGCUAGUUGGUGAGGUAACGGCUCACCAAGGCAACGAUGCGUAGCCGACCUGAGAGGGUGAUCGGCCACACUGGGACUGAGACACGGCCCAGACUCCUACGGGAGGCAGCAGUAGGGAAUCUUCCGCAAUGGACGAAAGUCUGACGGAGCAACGCCGCGUGAGUGAUGAAGGUUUUCGGAUCGUAAAGCUCUGUUGUUAGGGAAGAACAAGUACCGUUCGAAUAGGGCGGUACCUUGACGGUACCUAACCAGAAAGCCACGGCUAACUACGUGCCAGCAGCCGCGGUAAUACGUAGGUGGCAAGCGUUGUCCGGAAUUAUUGGGCGUAAAGGGCUCGCAGGCGGUUUCUUAAGUCUGAUGUGAAAGCCCCCGGCUCAACCGGGGAGGGUCAUUGGAAACUGGGGAACUUGAGUGCAGAAGAGGAGAGUGGAAUUCCACGUGUAGCGGUGAAAUGCGUAGAGAUGUGGAGGAACACCAGUGGCGAACGCGACUCUCUGGUCUGUAACUGACUCUGAGGAGCGAAAGCGUGGGGGAGCGAACAGGAUUAGAUACCCUGGUAGUCCACGCCGUAAACGAUGAGUGCUAAGUGUUAGGGGGGUUUCCGCCCCCUUAGUGCUGCAGCUAACGCAUUAAGCACUCCGCCCUGGGGGAGUACGGUCGCCAAAGACUGAAACUCAAAGGAAUUGACGGGGGCCCGCACAACCUUUUGAC